rnacentral:piRNA from 1 species
UAGAUAAUAUCUGCCUUUGAGUAUAACUAC